UCUUUAGUAUAAGUACAUCUUAUGCAAUAUUUGGGACAUACUUAUACUAAAG
rnacentral:pre_miRNA from 1 species